rnacentral:rRNA from 1 species
AACGAACGCUGGCGGCAUGCCUUACACAUGCAAGUCGAACGGCAGCACGGGGGCAACCCUGGUGGCGAGUGGCGAACGGGUGAGUAAUGCAUCGGAACGUACCCGGAAGUGGGGGAUAACGUAGCGAAAGUUACGCUAAUACCGCAUAUUCUGUGAGCAGGCAAGUGGGGGACCGCAAGGCCUCACGCUUUCGGAGCGGCCGAUGUCGGAUUAGCUAGUUGGCGGGGUAAAGGCCCACCAAGGCGACGAUCCGUAGCAGGUCUGAGAGGAUGAUCCGCCACACUGGGACUGAGACACGGCCCAGACUCCUACGGGAGGCAGCAGUGGGGAAUUUUGGACAAUGGGCGCAAGCCUGAUCCAGCCAUGCCGCGUGAGUGAAGAAGGCCUUCGGGUUGUAAAGCUCUUUCGGCGGGGAAGAAAUUGCUUAGGUUAAUACCUUGAGUAGAUGACGGUACCCGCAUAAGAAGCACCGGCUAACUACGUGCCAGCCGCCGCAGUAAAAC